CAGCAGAGUGAUAAUGACCAGAGAGUCUGUUUCUCUUACGUUGUUUGAAGAAAAAAUGUUGGCCAGAGUGCCUCUCCUGCUCUUCCUCAAAAUAUUAUCAUGUUAUCUUUCAGCUUGAGAGAACAAACCAGACUUCACUCUAACAUCUCAUCCAACAGUGCAAAGAGUGCCAGUCAAAAUCUUUGAGCUUGUCUUUGGGGUGGGUUUGAAAUCAACAACUUUCUGACCACAGAGACAAUAAUGAAACCCUCAGACCCACGGUUGAUGUAAAACUGAUCUGCUUUGAUGCAUGUCAUUCUUAAAAUUAAACACAGUCUCUCGCACACACCUCCAUGGGUCCUGCUCUCAGCCCUGCACAGAAUCUCUGAUUAUCUUAAUAUAUUAUGUAACUGCUGACAACACACUCCACCUUCAAGUUUCAUAUCCCAAACCCUUUGUUGUAACACAGAGCAGCUGACCAGCGAACACCUAAAAGGAGCACCACCCCUAACUUGCUGAGUUUCCAAACAAAGGCUUUGCACAAUUUGACUGCUGCCAGAUCUGGGACCCGUGAUUCAUGCACGAGCCUGGAGAAAGAAGGCUCGGUCUGGUGCAGAGAUAAUUAUUAACAAGAUGGCAAGCAGAAAAUUAUGAAAUUCUCUGUUUACAAUUGUGGUUGAGUUUCCAGGACUUAUAAAGGCUAUAAAAUCAUUUCCAUUGAAUUAUGCUGUCAAAACACGCAAAUUCUCUGCAUUUUCACAAAAGACAACAUUGAUUGGUUCGUUAGCAUUUUGGAACAAACUCAAGAUUAUUAAUAAACUGACUGAAAAUGUCAGUAGCUGGUGAUUUAUAUAUGGUUAAAAUUAAAUGGGUUUCAUGUGAGUGACCCAAGGAAGUGAGUAGGAUUGUCAAUCUGACGCUAUCCUGAUGGUGAAAAUGGCUAACACGAGGGGGCAUAAUUUUAAGGUGACUGGAGGAAGGUGUAAGGGGGAUGUCAGAGAUCAGCAGAACUGACUCAAAGUAAACAGGAGCAGCCUUCCAGCAGUCACACAGAAGACACUACAACAUAGUCAACCUCCCCCCCACCCCCACCAACAAGGUUGUCAAAGGGAAAAGGCUCUAGGCCUCAGUGAAUACUCUUCACUCGGAUUGAAGAGCAUUGCUGCAUCUUGACCCAUUCACCCAUUUUGGCGGAUCUCCUGUGGAGGUUGGAGGAAGGAUAUCUAUUCUGAGCAGCCAGGAAAAGUUCUGUGGGGAGUGAGGAGAACAAACUGUGUCAAUCCUUGGCAUUGACUGCAAACCCUGACUGUGAUGACUGAAACAUCGAGGCACUUUACUAACCCUGAUUUUAACGUAAACUGGCUGGUGGGAAAUGGAGGGAAAGAUGUUAAAAUUUCGAAGUUACAUCACAUGGUACAGUUUGUGUGUCUUCUGCCCUGCUGAAGGUUCUCACUCUGUAACAACAAGUCGGAGGCCUAAGCAAGUUUGUCAAUUUGUCUGAUUCACAGAACUCAUAUGAUUAACAUUCAACAAAGCCAUUCUAAAUCUGCCCGUGUGAAUA